AUUGAACGCUGGCGGCAUGCCUUACACAUGCAAGUCGAACGGCAGCACGGGUGCUUGCACCUGGUAGCGAGUGGCGAACGGGUGAGUAAUACAUCGGAACAUGUCCUGUAGUGGGGGAUAGCCCGGCGAAAGCCGGAUUAAUACCGCAUACGAUCUACGGAUGAAAGCGGGGGACCUUCGGGCCUCGCGCUAUAGGGUUGGCCGAUGGCUGAUUAGCUAGUUGGUGGGGUAAAGGCCUACCAAGGCGACGAUCAGCAGCUGGUCUGAGAGGACGACCAGCCACACUGGGACUGAGACACGGCCCAGACUCCUACGGGAGGCAGCAGUGGGGAAUUUUGGACAAUGGGCGAAAGCCUGAUCCAGCAAUGCCGCGUGUGUGAAGAAGGCCUUCGGGUUGUAAAGCACUUUUGUCCGGAAAGAAAUCCUUGGCCCUAAUACGGUCGGGGGAUGACGGUACCGGAAGAAUAAGCACCGGCUAACUACGUG
rnacentral:rRNA from 1 species